rnacentral:rRNA from 1 species
UUAGGAAUAUUCGUCAAUGGGGGGAAACCCUGAACGAGCAAUGCCGCGUGAACGAUGAAGGCCCUAUGGGUUGUAAAGUUCUGUUGCAUGGGACGAACGGCUAGGAUAGGAAAUGAUCUUAGUGUGACGGUACCAUGCCAGAAAGCUCCGGCUAACUACGUGCCAGCAGCCGCGGUAAUACGUAGGGAGCAAGCGUUAUCCGGAUUUAUUGGGCGUAAAGGGUGCGUAGGCGGUUUGUUAAGUAUGAGAUUAAAGCCUGAGGCUUAACCUCAGUUCGUUUCAUAAACUGGCAGACUUGAGUAUGGCAGAGGUAAACGGAAUUUCUAGUGUAGCGGUUAAAUGCGUAGAUAUUAGAAGGAACACCAGUGGC